rnacentral:rRNA from 1 species
UACGGAGGAUGCGAGCGUUAUCCGGAUUUAUUGGGUUUAAGGGGAGCGCAGACGGGAGAUUAAGUCAGUUGUGAAAGUUUGCGGCUCAACCGUAAAAUUGCAGUUGAUACUGGUUUCCUUGAGUGCAGUUGAGGCAGGCGGAAUUCGUGGUGUAGCGGUGAAAUGCUUAGAUAUCACGAAGAACCCCGAUUGCGAAGGCAGCUUGCUAAACUGUAACUGACGUUCAUGCUCGAAAGUGUGGGUAUCAAACAGG